GGGAUACGCCAAUCCCUUGCAAUAGUGUGAGCACAAAUAGCAAGCUAUUUUGAUGGCUCACUCCCUCAAUAAAUUGAGUUAAUAUCGUGUGAACCGAUGGUCCACAUAUCAGAUAUUAAACUGAUAAGAACAGAUACUACACUUGAUCUUAGCCAAAAGGCCGAGAAAGGUAUGCUUAGGUAAGUAAAUCGUGAUCCUUUUUAUAGCAAAACUUUGCCUUUGGUUUGCAAAUAC